rnacentral:rRNA from 1 species
AGAGUUUGAUCCUGGCUCAGAAUGAACGUUGGCGGCGUGGAUUAGGCAUGCAAGUCGAGGGCGAACCCGCAAGGGGGAGACCGGCGAACGGGGUAGGACAACCUCGGUAACGUACCCUUCGGACGGGGAUAGCGGCGGGAAACUGCCGGUAAUACCCGAUGAUCUGGCGAGCUUGUGAUGCUUGUCAGCAAAGGUGAGAUUCCACCGGAGGAGCGGCUGAGGCGCUAUUAGCUUGUUGGCGGGGUAACGGCCCACCAAGGCGACGAUGGCUAGGGGGUGUGAGAGCAUGGCCCCCACCACUGGCACUGAGACACUGGCCAGAACCCUACGGGUGGCUGCAGUCGAGAAUCUUCGGCAAUGGGCGCAAGCCUGACCGAGCGACGCCGCGUGCGGGAUGAAGGUCUUCGGAUUGUAAACCGCUGUCGGAGGGGAUGAAGUGCCGGAGAGCAAUCUCUCCGGUUUGACAGAGCCUCGGAGGAAGCACGGGCUAAGUUCGUGCCAGCCGCCGCGGUAAUUC